rnacentral:rRNA from 1 species
GCACAAGCGGUGGAGCAUGUGGUUCAAUUCGAAGCAACGCGAAGAACCUUACCAGCCCUUGACAUCCUGGUCGCGGGAACGAGAGAUCGAUCCCUUCAGUUCGGCUGGACCAGAGACAGGUGCUGCAUGGCUGUCGUCAGCUCGUGUCGUGAGAUGUUGGGUUAAGUCCCGCAACGAGCGCAACCCUUAUCCCCAGUUGCCAUCAUUUAGUUGGGCACUCUGGUGAAACCGCCUCGGAUAACGGGGAGGAAGGUGGGGAUGACGUCAAGUCCUCAUGGCCUUUAUGUCCAGGGCUACACACGUGCUACAAUGGCCGGUACAAACCGUCGCAAACCCGCGAGGGGGAGCUAAUCGGAAAAAGCCGGCCUCAGUUCGGAUUAGAGUCUGCAACUCGACUCUAUGAAGCUGGAAUCGCUAGUAAUCGCGGAUCAGAACGCCGCGGUGAAUACGUUCCCGGGC